rnacentral:lncRNA from 1 species
CGGCGGGGGAAGAGCCCGGCGGGCGCCAGCGAAGCGGAACCAAACGGAGCCGCGGCACGCAGGCGCAAAGGCUGGCGUUCGAGGUUCGUUUACGCGCCGCUUCGCCGUGCAGGUGGUGGCGAAGCGCUCCUCCGAAAGGUUUCGGAAGCUGGUGGUAGCUCUGAAGAUAACGCUGCGUUAGGGCAUACUGCGGCGGAGGAUGGAACUCCGAUUGAAAGCAGUUGCUGGAGUGGAGCACGAAUUUCAACAAUGAAGUCUCACUCUGUUCCCCCAGGCUGGAGUGCAGUGGCACGAUCUCGGCUCACUGCAACCUCCACCUCCCGGGUUCAAGCGAUUCUCCUGCCUCAGCCUCCUGAGUAGCUGGGAUUACAAGCACGCACCACCACGCCUGGCUAAUUUUUGUAUUUUUAGUAGAGACAGGAUUUCACCAUGUUGGCCAGGCUGGUCUCGAACUUCUGACCUCAAGUGAUCCACCCGCCUCAGCCUCCCAAAGUGCUGGGAUUACAGGCGUGAGCCACUGUGCCCGGCUUUUUUUUUUUUUCAUUUUUAAAAUUUUUAACUUCAGGGGUCCAAGUGCAGGUUUGUUACACAGAGCCGCAUGUUGAAGUGUGAGGCGUGAAAGGGUAUGUCUGAUAUUUGCUUUAAAAUGCUCCAGCAAAGAAAUUAAGGGAUGGAUGAAGCAAAAGAGCCAGGUAUGGUGGCUCAUGCCUCUAAUCUCAGCACUUUGGGAGGCCGAAGCAGGCAGAUCACCUGAGGUCAGGAGUUUGAGACCAUCCUGACCAACAUGGUGAAACUCGUCUCUACUACAAACAUAAAAAAAUUAGCUGGGCGUGGUACCACGCACCUGUAAUCCCAGCUACUCCUCUGGAGGCUCAGACAGGAGAACUGCUUGAACCGGGAGGCGGAGGUUGCAGUGAGCUGAGAUCGCACCAAUCCAUUCCAGCCUGGGCAACAGAGUGAGACUCCAUCUCAUAAAAAAAAAAAAAGUAAAGAAAAAAAAGAAAAUGUCUUUAUUUCAUUUUCUUUCCUAAAGAAUAUAUUUGCUGGAUAAAGGAUUCUGUGUUGACAGUUUUGUUGCUUUUUAAAAGCACUUUAUAAAUGUUGCUCCAUGGUUUCUGAUGAGAAAUCUGCCAUCACUGAAAUCUUUGGUUCUCCUAUAUACAAAGUGUUGUUUUCUUCCAGUUGUUUUCAAAGUAUUUUCUUUACAGUUGGUUUCAUCACUUUGAUUAUGACGUGCCUGGGUGUGGUUUUCCUUUUUGGGAUUUGCUGUGCCAGCAGACCGGCUUUAAAUAGAAUGCUAUGUAAAUGUAUGUGAAUAUUUGUUUUUUGCCAGAUGUUUGGAAGUUUUUAGCUAUUAUUUCUUCAGAUAUUUUUUUCUUCCAAUUGUUCUUUCUGGGCUCCUAAGACAUGAAUAUUAGACUGUUUCAUAUUGUCCCACAGAUCCCCAAAGGUCUUCUCAUUUUUUUCACUUUUUUCUCUGUCAUUCAGACUAGAUAAUUUCUGCUCAUGUAUCUUCAAAUUUACUGACUCUUCCCUCAGUCAUCUUCAUUGUGUUGAGACCUUCCAGUAAAUUUUGUUAUUGUAUUUUCAGUUCUACAAUUUCCACUUGUUUCUUUUUAUAGCUUCUAUGCUGAGACUUUUAGCUUUCCAUUUAUUUCAACAGUGUUUCCCUUUAUAUAUUUCCUUUGGAGAAAUGUCUUCUUUGUGUAGCAUGAUUAAAAUAACUAGUUUAACGGCCAGGUGUGCUGGCUUAUGCCUGUAAUCCCAGCACUUUGGGAGGCCCAGGCAGGCAGAUCACUUGAGGUCAGGAGUUUGAGACCAGCCUGGCCAACGUGGUGAAACUCUGUCUCUAUUAAAAAUACAAAAAAUUAUCUAGGCGUGGUGGUACACACCUGUAGUCACAGCUACUCAGGAGGCUGAGACAGGAGAAUCACUUGCACCCUGGGGGUGGAGGUUGCAGUGAGCCAAGAUUGUAUCACUGCACUCUAGCCUGGGUGAUAGAGACUGUCUCAAAAAUAAAUAAAAAAAAUAAAAUAACUAGUUUUAAGUCUUUUUCUGAUAAUUCUGACAUUUGGGUAACCUUAGAGUUGGCUCUUGUUCAUUGUCUUUUCCCUAGAGAGUUGCUUAGGUUUCACAAGUUCUUUGUCCAAUCAUUUUGGGUUGUUUCUGGGAUAUAUUUGGAAUAUUAUGAUAUUCUCUAUCCUGUUUAAAUCUUCAUAAGAAUGUUUUUGUUUUGUUUUGUUUUAGCAGACCAUCAAUUCAGUUAAGUUUCAGAGCACACAUCCUGGCCACUUUUUUUGGUGGCUGUGGUUCCAAUGUUAGUUUUCACUGCCUUUGUUAAGCUGUUCUUUGCCCCAGUUGUGCACCAUCUAGUGGCCAAUCUGAAACUUGGACAGUGGCCUACACUGUAAUUCAGUGUUCAGAACCUUUGCUCAGCUGCUUCUGGUUAGUUUCACACAUACACAGCUUGUGAGAUGAUCCCAGGAUUUUAUUGACAGAUUUAAGGGUUCCUUUUCUUCAGUUCCCUCCUAUUUGUGAUCUUACCUAUACUCUGGUUUCUAGAACCCCAUUCUUGGUUUUUGGCUAGAAAGUCAGGGCGUUAGCCUCCCCAUUGCCAGUGUUCUGCCCUGCAAUGUCUGCCACUAGUGCACCAGGGGGAAGAGAAGAGUGAUACCUCUUUACUGCUGCGGGAUUGAUGUAGAGCAAGGAAAGUCCAGAAGGUUCCAAGUCAUUACCCAUGGUUCUCCUGGUGGGGCGGUGGGUCUUACUGCAUCUUUCCUGAGGCUCUCUUAGAAUACUGCAAUUAAAUUAAAAAGGGUUUUGUCCCAUAGCCUCCAACCUCCUUUCUGGUCCUCUGACUAGAAACAGCAAAUUGUUCCUUGGACUAUUUUUCUCUCUGUCAGCUAGCAUUUCCAGUUUUCCUGUUAAAUGUCUUUUUUCUUUUUCCUUUUUUUUGAGACAAGGUUUUGCUCUGUUGCACGAUCACAGCUCACUGGAGCCUUAACCUCCUGGGCUCAAGUGAUCCUCCCACCUCAGCCCCCGUGAAGCUGGGACCACAAGUAUGAGCCACCACACCUGGCAAAAUUUUUUUAAUUUUGCAGAGACAGUGUCUCCCUGUGUUGCUCACUCUGGUCUCAACCUGAGCUCGAGUGAUCCUCCUGCCUUGGCCUCCCAAAGUGCUCGAUUACAGGUGUGAGCCACUGCACCUGGCCUUAUUAUGUGUCUAUGUGUGGAUUUUCUAGUUUAUUCUGUUUGGGAUUUGUCUGGCUUCUAGAAUGUGUGGGGUCAUGUCUUUCAUCAGUUUUUAAAAUUCUGCAUUCUAUCUAAGUAUUUGCUCUGUCCUAUUCUUGCCUCUCCUCUCACAGCUAAUGAAGCACUUAGGAUUUUUCACUGUAUUCUCUACAGGUCUUCUGUUUUUUUUUCCAGCUGUUUCUCCCAUGGUGCACUGUGAAUAGUUUCUCCUGAGUUAUCUUCCAGUUUAUAAACUACCCCAAUUGGCUACAUUCUAUUACAUCUAUUUACUGAGUUUUAAAGUGCAGUUUUUAUGUAUAUUCUUGUAAUGUUUAUAUUCAGUUCUUUUCCAGAUUAGCUCCACAACUUUUUAUCGUAUAGUUUCCCAUUUCCUGCAAGUACAUUCACACACCUUAUUUCCUUAAACAAAGAAAACAAAUCUAAUACCUAUAUCUGUGAGUUUGUUUUCAUUGCUUCAAGUAAUUCUUGCCUCUGGAAUCUAGUUUCCUUAUAUGACUACUUUUUACUAUGUGUUACUAGACAUAUUUGAAAAGUAAUUUGAGGCCUACAAUGAAAUUACUUUUCCAUGAAAAGUAUUUACAUUUUAUUUUCUCUGUCACCUGGAGGCAUUACUAGUGUGGGAACACCUUAAAGGAAGCUCAGUGCUUAAGAUUCUUUAGAUCACUGGGGCAAUUCUAAACUUGCCUGUUCUUUUACAUUGGUUCUUCCACCUCUGAUUCAUUAUCAUCCUAAAGGUGAAAGUAUUUGGGAGUCUCAGCCUAUUGUGUGGAGGGUCUCCUGUUAGGUUCAUCACCUUAUAUGGGCCCUGAACUUUAAUUUCUGUCCCCCUCACUCAUAAGGUUGUCAGAGUAAGGGUACAUGCUUGCUUCUCUUAUUCUCUUUACUUUUGGACUUGGCAUUCCUUAUUGUCUGGAAAAUCUCUUUGAUGUUUUAAGAUUAUUCUUGUAUUUUAAUCAGGAAUUGUUUUCAACAGGAACAUGAUGUAAAUAUCCUAGCAUGCAAUUUUCAGAAACAAGUAGUUUCCCACAAUUGAAUCUUUGCUCCUACAGGGCCAAAUCCUACUCUUUCUCUUGGCAUGCUCUGCACUUAAGCGCAUACUACUUGUGGCAUGGAAUCCAUAAAUGUUGAUAAAGAACUACGCCUAAUUCUGUCAGAACAAUUAAUCAUUUUUAGAAAUUUUUGCUUAGAAACCUGGUAAAGUGCUCUGCAUGUAGCAAGUAUACGAACACACAAAGUUUGUUGAAUAGCUGCAUAAAACAAAUGGGCUAGAUUUUACUUCAUAUUUCAAAAUUCAGAGAAAGAGAGUAGUAUUAAAAGACAUAAGCCAAAAAUAGAUCAUUGCAGACUGAGU